rnacentral:rRNA from 1 species
ACGACUCUCGGCAACGGAUAUCUCGGCUCUUACAUCGAUGAAGAACAUAGUGAAAUGCGAUACCUGGUGUGAAUUGCAUAAUCCCGUGAACCAUCGAGUCUUUGAAUGCAAGUUGUGCCCGAGGCCAUGCGGCUAAGGGCACGCCUACCUGAGCGUCAUGCUUUCGACGUUUCGUCAUUGCUCCCUCAAGGGGUGGGGGCGAACGCGGAGGAUGGCCCCUCGUGCAGGAAGGUGCGGUUGGCCGACGAGCGGGCCGUCGGUGGUUGUCGAACACAACACGUGGUGGAUGCCUUGUGCGAGUCGUACGUCGUGCCUUGGGGACCCGGGCGAGGCCUCGAGGACCCAAGUCGUGGUGCGAGUCGAUGCCACAGACCGCGACCCCAGGUCAGAUGGGGCUACCCGCUGAGUUUAAGCAUAUAAUAAGCGGAGGAGAAGAAACUUAUGAGGAUUCCCUUAGUAACGGCUAGCAAACCAAGAUCAGCCCAGCUUGACAAUCGGGCGGCUGCGUCGUCUGAAUUGUAGUCUGGAGAAGCGUCCUCAGUGACGGACCGGGCCCAUGUCCGCAGGAAAGGAGCAUCGGGGAGGUUGAGAGCCCUGUCCGGCUCGGACCCUAUCGCACCACGAGGUGUUGUCGAUGAGUCGGGUUCUUUGGGAAUGCAGCCCCAAUCGGGCGGUAAAUUUCGUCCAAGACUAAAUAUGGGCGAGAGACCGAUAGCGAACAAGUACCGCGACGGAAAGAUGAAAAGGACUUUGAAAAGAGAGUCAAAGAGUGCUUGAAAUUGCUGAGAGGGAAGCGGAUGGGGGCCGACGAUGCACCUCGGUCGGAUGCGGAAUGGCGGUUAGUCGGUCCGUCGCUCGGCUCGGGGUGCGGAUCGAUGCGGGCUGCAUCGACGGCCAAAGCCUGGAUGGAUCGUUCGUUCGGGGGGAUACCAUCGAUGCAGUCGAGGACAUGAUGUGCACCAUCUAGUAGCCGGUUCCCUCCAAAGUUUCCCUCAGGAUAGCUGGAGCCCACGUGCGAGUUCUAUCGGGUAAAGCCAAUGAUUAGAGGCAUCGGGGGCGCAACGCCCUCAACCUAUUCUCAAACUUUAAAUAGGUAGGAUGGCGCGGCUGCUUCUUUGAGCCGCAUCGCUGAAUUGAGAGCUCUAAGUGAACCAGAAGCCUAGUUACGAUGCCCAACUGCGCACUAACCCAGACACCACAAAGGGUGUUGGUCGAUUAAGACAGCAGGACGGUGGUCAUGGAAGUCGAAAUCUGCUUAGGAGUGUGUAACAACUCAUCUACCGAAUCAACUAGCCCCGAAAAUGGAUGGCGCUGAAGCGCGUGACCCACACCUGGCCAUUGGGGCUAGCGCCAAGCCCCGAUGAGUAGGAGGGCAUGACGAUCAUCGCAAAACCCAGGGCGCGAGCCCGGGCGGAGCGGCCGUCGGUGCAGGUCUUGGUGGUAGUAGCAAAUAUUCAAAUGUGAACAUUGUAGGCCGAAGAGGGGAAAGGUUCCAUGUGAAUGGCACUUGCAGAUGGGUUAGCCGAUCCUACGGGACGGGGGAAGCCCGUCCAAGAGCAUGUCUCCGCGCAAGCUCCGAAAUGGAAUCGGGUUAAAAUUCCCGAGCCGGGAGGCGGCGGCGGACGGCAACGUUAGGAAGUCCGGAGACGCCGGUUGGGGCCCCGGGAAGAGUUAUCUUUUCAGCUUAACGGCCCACCCACCCUGGAAACGGCUCAGCCGGAGGUAGGGUCCAGCGGUCGGAAGAGCGCCGCACGUCGCGCGGCGUUUGGUGUGCCCCCGGCGGCCCUUGAAAAUCCGGAGGACCGAGUGCCGCCCACGCCCGGUCGUACUAAUAACCGCAUCAGGUCUCCAACGUGAACAUCCUCUGGCCAAUGGAACAAUGUAAGGAAGGGAAGUCGGCAAAAUGGAUCCGUAACUUCGGGAAAAGGAUUGGCUCUGAGGGAUGAGCAUGGGGGUCCCGACCCCGAACCCGUCAGUUGUCGGCGGACUGCUUAAGCUGCUCUCACGGCAAGAUUGGGUCUCUGCGCGCCGACCGGGGGACAGAUCGGGAACGGCCCCCUCGGGGGCCUCCCCCGGGAGUCGAACAGCUGACUCAGAACUGGUACGGACAAGGGGAAUCCGACUGUUUAAUUAAAACAAAGCAUUGCGAUGGUCCCCGCGGAUGCACACGCAAUGUGAUUUCUGCCCAGUGCUCUGAAUGUCAAAGUGAAGAAAUUCAACCAGGCGGGGUAAAUGGCGGGAGUAAUUAUGACUCUCUUAAGGUAGCCAAAUGCCUCGUCAUCUAAUUAGUGACACGCAUAAAUGGAUUAACGAGAUUCCCACUGCCACUGUCUACUAUCCAGCGAAACCACAGCCAAGGGAACGAGCUUGGCAUAAUCAGCGGGGAAAGAAGACCCUGUUGAGCUUGACUAUAGUCCGACUUUGUGAAAUGACUUGAGAGGUGUAGGAUAAGUGGGAGCUGGUUCACCGUCGGAAGUGAAAUACCACUACUUUUAACGUUAUUUUACUUAUUCCGUGAGUCGGAGGCGUGGCUCGACCCCUCCUUUUGGACCCAAGGCCCGCCUAGCGGGCCGAUCCGGGCGGAAGACAUUGUCAGGUGGGGAGUUUGGCUAGGGCGGCACAUAUGUUAAAAGAUAACACAGGUGUCCUAAGAUGAGCUCAACAAGAACAAAAAUCUCGUGUGGAACAAAAGGGUAAAAGCUCGUUUGAUUGUGAUUUCCAGUACGAAUACGAACCGUGGAAGCAUGACCUAUCGAUCCUUUAGACCUUCGGAAUUUGAAGCUAGAGGUGUUAGAAAAGUUACCACAGGGAUAUCUGGCUUGUGGCAGCCAAGCAUUCAUAGCGACGUUGCUUUUUGAUCCUUCGAUAUCGGCUCUUCCUAUCAUUGUGAAGCAGAAUUCACCAAGUGUUGGAUUGUUCACCCACCAAUAGGGUACAUGAGCUGGGUUUAGACUGUCAUGAGACAGGUUAGUUUAACCCUACUAAUGAUUGUGCUGCGAUAGUAAUUCAAUCUAGUAUGAGGGGAACUGUUGAUUCACACAAUUGGUCAUCGCGCUUGGUUGAAAAGCCUAUGGCGCGAAGCUACCGUGUCGGAUUAUGACUGAAUGCCUCUAAGUUAGAAUCCUAGCUAGCAACCGGCGCUCUCACUCGUCGUUCGCCUCCCGACCCACAGUAGGGGCCUUUGGCCCCCAUAGGCUCAUGUCGCCGGUGUAGCCCCCGUAGUAGUAUAGCCACGGGUGGCCAUCGGGAAAUGAAAUUUUGCACGAACGAUGGGCCGAAUCCUUUGCA